GACGAACGCUGGCGGCGUGCUUAACACAUGCAAGUCGAGCGGAAAGGCCCUUUCGGGGGUACUCGAGCGGCGAACGGGUGAGUAACACGUGAGUAAUCUGCCCCUGGCUUUGGGAUAGCCACCGGAAACGGUGAUUAAUACCGGAUACGACCACUUCCCGCAUGGGAUGGUGGUGGAAAGUUUUUCGGCCAGGGAUGUGCUCGCGGCCUAUCAGCUUGAUGGUGAGGUAAUGGCUCACCAUGGCUUCGACGGGUAGCCGGCCUGAGAGGGUGACCGGUCACACUGGACGGAGGCACGGCCCAGACUCGUACGGGAGGCAGCAGUGGGGAAUAUUGGACAAUGGGCGGAAGCCUGAUCCAGCAACGCCGCGUGAGGGAUGACGGCCUUCGGGUUGUAAACCUCUUUCAGCAGGGACGAAGCGCAAGUGACGGUACCUGCAGAAGAAGCACCGGCCAACUACGUGCCAGCCGCCGCCGUAA
rnacentral:rRNA from 1 species